GUAAACGGCGGCCGUAACUAUAACGGUCCUAAGGUAGCGAAAUUCCUUGUCGGGUAAGUUCCGACCCGCACGAAAGGUGUAACGAUUUGGGCGCUGUCUCAACGAGGGACCCGGUGAAAUUGAAAUACCUGUGAAGAUGCAGGUUACCCGCGACUGGACAGAAAGACCCCAUGGAGCUUUACUGUAACCUGACAUUGGGUUCUGAUACUGCAUGCACAGGAUAGGUGGGAGGCACGGAAGCCCUUCCUUUGGGGAGGGCAGAGCCGCCGUUGGGAUACCACCCUUGCGAUAUCGGAAUUCUAACCGUAGCGGUAACGACGCUCGGGACAGUGUCAGGCGGGCAGUUUGACUGGGGCGGUCGCCUCCCAAAGAGUAACGGAGGCGCCCAAAGGUUCCCUCAGCGCGGCCAGAAAUCGCGCGCAGAGUGCAAAGGCAGAAGGGAGCUUGACUGCGAGUCAGACAAGACGAGCAGGGACGAAAGUCGGGCUUAGUGAUCCGGUGGCAUCCAAGUGGAAGGGCCAUCGCUCAACGGAUAAAAGCUACCCUGGGGAUAACAGGCUGAUCUCUCCCAAGAGUUCAUAUCGACGGGGAGGUUUGGCACCUCGAUGUCGGCUCAUCACAUCCUGGGGCUGAAGUCGGUCCCAAGGGUUGGGCUGUUCGCCCAUUAAAGUGGUACGCGAGCUGGGUUCAGAACGUCGUGAGACAGUUCGGUCCCUAUCCAUCGCGGGCGUAAGAGAUUUGAAGGGGGCUGCUCCUAGUACGAGAGGACCGGAGUGGACGAAUCAAUGGUGUACCAAUUAUGCCGCCAGGCGUACAGUUGGGUAGCUACAUUCGGGAAGGAUAAACGCUGAAAGCAUCUAAGCGUGAAACCUGCCCUAAGAUGAGAUCUCUCACAGCAUAAGCUGGUAAGACUCCUUGAAGAAGACAAGGUUGAUAGGUCGGGAGUGUAAGUGCAGUGAUGCAUUGAGCGGACCGAUACUAAUAAGUCGAGGGCUUGAUUUC
rnacentral:rRNA from 1 species